CCACUGAGAGCUGGGGCUCUUUGAUUCCUAACCUUUGAACAGGGUCGGGGGAAAAAGACUUGCUGGAAAGCCUUGAUUCACGCUGUGGUGGUGGUAGUAAGCUCAGGAUCAAAUGGCCGCUUCAUCUUCAAAGACUCCUGAGGCCUCACAGCACUGAAGGGGACAGGGGAUUCUGGUUUCGACUUAACAUAUUAAAUGAAGUUCCAAGAUUUAAUCAAGGAAUGGAGUCUGUCAGGAAAAAGAAAAUCAACUCUGCAGAGAGGAAGCUGCAGCCCAAGAAGCUUCCGCUUCGUGUCUCCUGGAACAUUCUCUGAGAGCUCUGAGUUGCUACAAGAGAAGUCUGACUAGCCACCUGCACAUGCUCGAGGCCAUGUCUAGGUGUCCAGAUGCCAACCCCCACUGAGUCAAGCCUUUCACCAUUCCCAUCAAUAUGCCAAACAGUGAGUGAGCUAUCUGAGACCAGAAUUCCUCUUUACCAUAUGAAUUCCACCAGAAGUAUGACUUCGGUUCACAUCACAUGGAACAGGAAAAACACCAACCUGAGACCUGCCCAAAUUCCUGAUCCACAAAAUCAUGAGAUAAAAAUAA
rnacentral:lncRNA from 1 species